UCUAGGCAAAUGGAUCCAUUUAAAAAAGAAUUAGGGCUUUUACCCUCCCGUCUUCGUCAUUUGCUGGUCGAACAAGUAAAUGGAACGGAGCAACGAUGGCAGCGGCCAAGGAAGAAUGCGAAGGCAGGAGGGAAAAGGAGGCGACAUAAGGGAGUGCAAGGAAGGAGUUCCAAUAGGGAGCCGGGCGUCGCAAGCAGCGGUAGCAACAAGGACGAGUCUUCGGAGUUCUAUGGUCGAUGGGAACAGCAGGGAAAAAACGAGAGGAAAGGGCGUCUGCGGUGAGGUGUCGCGAGCAGCAGCAGUGAAGAAGACGAGGAUGUUCGGUGGGUUUGCUUCGACGGAAGGGGAAACGAAGGCAGAUAACCAGAGGCUUCGGGGCUGCUGGGUCGUGCGUAAGAAGGGAAACACCCUCGGUGUUUGAUGGAACCGAAGAAGGAAAGAAGAUCGGGGCAGCAAGGCUCCACGGGAAGAAGAGAAAAAGGGUCUCCGGAAAAGGAACACGAAAACAAAAGGCUACUGCCUUCUUGAUAUUGCUAAAACAGAGAACACACCUCAAUGGUGUGUUCAUGGCAGUAGAACGAAGAAGAAGAAAGAAAUGCAGGAAAGGGGUUUUUGGCUGUGGUCUACGAUGGAAGCAUCAACAAAGCUAUGCAUGUGAAUCGUUAUUUGGAUUGUUGAUCUUAUCAUUGUUAGUUUGUGGUUGAGUGUUGUUGUGAUUGAGUGUUAAUCUUUGCUUGAAUGCUCCGGGGAUGGAAUGCAAUGGAAGGACGAGAAAAGAGUGUAAUUUUGGUCAAGUUGAAAACUUGGAAGCAAUCUAAAUUUUAUAAUUUCGCUGUUAUAUUUACUUCUUAAUUGAUUUGAUUUUUUU